GACGAACGCUGGCGGCGUGCUUAACACAUGCAAGUCGAACGGAAAGGCCCUGCUUUUGUGGGGUGCUCGAGUGGCGAACGGGUGAGUAACACGUGAGUAACCUGCCCUUGACUUUGGGAUAACUUCAGGAAACUGGGGCUAAUACCGGAUAGGAGCUCCUGCUGCAUGGUGGGGGUUGGAAAGUUUCGGCGGUUGGGGAUGGACUCGCGGCUUAUCAGCUUGUUGGUGGGGUAGUGGCUUACCAAGGCUUUGACGGGUAGCCGGCCUGAGAGGGUGACCGGCCACAUUGGGACUGAGGUACGGCCCAGACUCCUACGGGAGGCAGCAGUGGGGAGUAUUGCACAAUGGGCGGAAGCCUGAUGCAGCAACGCCGCGUGCGGGAUGACGGCCUUCGGGUUGUAAACCGCUUUCGCCUGUGACGAAGCGUGAGUGACGGUAAUGGGUAAAGAAGCACCGGCUAACUACGUG
rnacentral:rRNA from 1 species